rnacentral:tRNA from 1 species
UAUUUAUAUAGUUUAACAUUUUAAAACACUUCAUUUUCAAUGAAGAAAUAAGAUUAUCUUUAUAAAUAU